ACGGGAGGCAGCCGUGAGGAAUAUUGGUCAAUGGGCGAGAGCCUGAACCAGCCAAGUCGCGUGAAGGAUGAAGGUUCUAUGGAUUGUAAACUUCUUUUGUUCGAGGGUAAAGUGACUUACGUGUAGGUUAUUGCAAGUAUCGAACGAAUAAGCAUCGGCUAACUCCGUGCCAGCAGCCGCGGUAAUACGGAGGAUGCGAGCGUUAUCCGGAUUUAUUGGGUUUAGAGGGUGCGCAGGCGGCACGUUAAGUCAGCGGUGAAAUGUCGGGGCUCAACCCGGGCACUGCCGUUGAAACUGGCGAGCUUGAGUACGGAUGAAGUUGGCGGAAUGUGAUGUGUAGCGGUGAAAUGCUUAGAUAUGUCACAGAACACCGAUUGCGAAGGCAGCUGACUAAUACGCAACUGACGCUCAGGCACGAAAGCGUGGGGAUCGAACAGGAUUAGAUACCCUGGUA
rnacentral:rRNA from 1 species